CAGCUACAGAGCAUGGGUUGGGAAGCUCUUUUCUUGCUAGCUACUUGCUUGUCCUUCGCCUGCUGCGAACUCCACAUUUUCCUUGUGGCUGGGCACCUUGACUGUGGCCCAGCUGUCUAUGGUCAGCACAGAAGGUGUGAUCGGGGUGAAACGCAUCUCAAGAGCAAGCUCUGGGGCAGAACCGGGACCUCCGCUGUCUGCUGCGACGCUGCGGGUGAGACGUUUCCUUCUCACCAGUGCACGUUUCCUGGCAGUGCUGGGCUGGCCUGGAAAUCUAGAGCUGCGCUCCUCGAGAGCAAGGUCAACUUGUGGACGUACCUGCUGCAAGAUAUUACCAGGACAAGCCAUGAAGCUGGAAGUUUAAAAUGGAUCAAGGUGAUUUUCUGAACAUCAGUAUGCAAGAUGUCACAUUCAGCAGUGGAUUGUGAAAUGCUUGAAAAAGGGAAUCAUAGGAGCAUUAUUUAAUGCUAAGUGUUACCCACAUCAUAUCUGAAGCUUGAACAUGCCAGGAAAACAUCCGUCACAUUCUGCAGCUAAUCUAUCCAGGCUUUCAGGAUCAGUCGUGAAUUGGCUGGGUACGUACACUAUUACUCUCCGCAUAUGUGUGCCAUAGUAUUAUAUGCUGUAUUCAGUUAU
rnacentral:lncRNA from 1 species